UACGUAGGGCGCAAGCGUUAUCCGGAAUUAUUGGGCGUAAAGAGCUCGUAGGCGGUUUGUCGCGUCUGCCGUGAGAGUCCGGGGCUUAACCCCGGAUCUGCGGUGGGUACGGGCAGACUAGAGUGAUGUAGGGGAGACUGGAAUUCCUGGUGUAGCGGUGAAAUGCGCAGAUAUCAGGAGGAACACCAAUGGCGAAGGCAGGUCUCUGGGCAUUAACUGACGCUGAGGAGCGAAAGCAUGGGGGAGCGAACAGG
rnacentral:rRNA from 1 species